UCCAGCAUGGGGUAAUGGUUCGAGUGUUGGACUGUGACUCUAGAGACCAGGGUUCGAUUCCCAGCUCAGCCA
rnacentral:tRNA from 1 species